AUGGCUGGCAUUGACACGUCGUCGUCCUCGUCGUCGUGGAUGACGAUGGGCACCUUCAUCGUUCCGCAGCCGUUCUCAGGCACCGGCAGGUCGUUGCGGAGGAUGGCGCUCUUAGCCUCGGCGCGUACGCGUGUCCGGUCGUUCAUGGACACCGCCGCGUCGCCGAGUUCAACAACUUGUUCAGAUGACGGAGCCGGCGUCACCACGGCGCGCACGAUUUGUCCGGCGAGACUUGCCAAUGUGCCAUUGUCUUCCUGGACGCCUCGCUGCCGCGCGACGGGCCGGUCCGCCGCCUCCCGGAGGUGGGUGGAUGCUUUCCUCUUGUGGCCGGAGUCAGACACCAUCGACGACUCUGGCGGGGCGGAGUGCACGCCGCCGUGGACGAAUGUGGCGUUGGGCUGGCCGGCGAUCAUUGGGCGGCGGGAGUGGUGCGUGGUGUCGGGGAGGUGUGUGUACCGAGGAGGACGGGAGGGGUAG
rnacentral:rRNA from 1 species